rnacentral:rRNA from 1 species
UACGGGGGGAGCAAACGUUGUUCGGAAUUACUGGGCGUAAAGGGCUCGUAGGCGGCCAACUAAGUCAGACGUGAAAUCCCUCGGCUUAACCGGGGAACUGCGUCCGAUACUGGUUGGCUUGAGUUUGGGAGAGGGAUGCGGAAUUCCAGGUGUAGCGGUGAAAUGCGUAGAUAUCUGGAGGAACACCGGUGGCGAAGGCGGCAUCCUGGACCAAUACUGACGCUGAGGAGCGAAAGCUAGGGGAGCAAACGGG